AUGUCUUUGAAUCAGGUGGUUCCGAAGGCGGCGACGACGGUGUUGGUGAAAAUGAAACUGAAACUUUGUUAUGUGGCAAAUGUGGUGUAUCUGGUGGAGGUGGAAGCGAAGGAAAAACAUAAAUUAGAGAUGGUGGUUGUAACAGUUGUUUCCAUGAUGUAUCUGGUGGUUUCAGCGAUGAAAGUCGUCUUGGUAGUAUUGUCGCCAGUCAACCAACGACAAGCAAUUUCAAAGGAGGUUGUAGAUUCAAACAAUGACAUGUUUUCAUGUCAGACUGUCUAG